rnacentral:rRNA from 2 species
GGACAGAUGGGAGCUUGCUCCCUGAUGUUAGCGGCGGACGGGUGAGUAACACGUGGGUAACCUGCCUGUAAGACUGGGAUAACUCCGGGAAACCGGGGCUAAUACCGGAUGGUUGUUUGAACCGCAUGGUUCAAACAUAAAAGGUGGCUUCGGCUACCACUUACAGAUGGACCCGCGGCGCAUUAGCUAGUUGGUGAGGUAACGGCUCACCAAGGCAACGAUGCGUAGCCGACCUGAGAGGGUGAUCGGCCACACUGGGACUGAGACACGGCCCAGACUCCUACGGGAGGCAGCAGUAGGGAAUCUUCCGCAAUGGACGAAAGUCUGACGGAGCAACGCCGCGUGAGUGAUGAAGGUUUUCGGAUCGUAAAGCUCUGUUGUUAGGGAAGAACAAGUACCGUUCGAAUAGGGCGGUACCUUGACGGUACCUAACCAGAAAGCCACGGCUAACUACGUGCCAGCAGCCGCGGUAAUACGUAGGUGGCAAGCGUUGUCCGGAAUUAUUGGGCGUAAAGGGCUCGCAGGCGGUUUCUUAAGUCUGAUGUGAAAGCCCCCGGCUCAACCGGGGAGGGUCAUUGGAAACUGGGGAACUUGAGUGCAGAAGAGGAGAGUGGAAUUCCACGUGUAGCGGUGAAAUGCGUAGAGAUGUG